rnacentral:lncRNA from 1 species
AGUUCCCCACAGCACAGAGAGGAAGCAAGGUCUUUGCAUGCCCUGUUCACUUGGCCAAACAUUGCCCUAGAUGUGCAAUUCAACCCAUAUAAAGCAAGCGUAAUUCAAGAGCCCUGACUCUUUCACCAUUUCAUGAUGGCUUAUUACUCGCACACGGCAUUGUCAGGUUCCAGCAACUCUGUGUGCAGCAGGCAGAAAUGCAGUGUUUAUCUCUGACAGGCAAACAUUCUUAGGCUCAUCGGCAUGAGUAUCCACGCUGAACUGGCUAUCGGGGAAGUAGAUCCCUGCAUGGGAAAGUCAAGUAUCCCCACUGUGUAGAGCUGGUCCACAAUGGAGAGGAGGAAAAGUUUUGCAUUGGACCAAAUCACUGCCUUAGAAGGAAAGAGAUUGCAAUCCCAUUCAUUUUUAAGAUCUGCAAUGGGUUGGGAUGAUACCCAUUUAAAAAAGAAAAAAAAAGAGGUUACCUCUUUGGCCUCUUUGGCAAAGGAUAUGAACUAGUAAUAAAGCCUCAGCAUCAAGGCUUGGGAGUCUGGCUCAAAGUGGCUAAGACUAGAAGCAUCUUCUAACAUAAAUAUGGCAGCAUUAGGAAAAUAGCUUGGCCUUUAGAGAGACCCAGAUUAUCUUCACCUUAAAAACUACCAAGACCCUGGUCCAGCAAGACCACCAUCACAGCAGUAAAUACAUAGCCACCAACUUCACAGAAGGUUUUCCACUGAGACAUUGUGAAAACCACAAUCCAUUACCGGUGGAUGAGUCCCAGCUCUCUUACUACCUGGAGCUUCCAAGCAAGACUUACCUGUCCUUUGUUCCAGAUUGGUUCCUGGGAUCCUGGACCAACACAAAGAGAAGAGGAAAGCCUCAAGGGAAAUAAAAGUGAAGGUUUCAGUGAUAGUUUAAAUAUAUAUUUUUAAAUGUUAGCUUUUUUUUAAAUACUUCACAGUGAUGGAUGGAGUAUUUCAACCACAAUGGCAAAGAAUGAAUUACCGGCAGUGUCAGAGUUUCUUGUUGCUGUGGGAAGACAGCUGCCAUGUUGAGAGGUGCCUUGUGGAGAGGCUCAUGUGGCGAGGAACUGAGACUGGCUUCUAUCCAACAACCAGUGAGGAACUAAGGCCCUAAAGUCCUAUAGUCCACAAGGAACUAAAUCCUACCAACAACUACAUGAGUGAGCCUGGAAUCUGAUUUUCCCCAGUGGGGACUUAAGGUACCUACAACCUGGCUGUUAUGGGCUAAACUGCAUCCUGCCCAAAUUUAUAUGUUUGAGUCUUAACUCCCAGCACUUCAGAACAUGGUUUUGUUUGGAGACAUAGUCAUUAAAGAGGUAAUGAAGUUAAAAUGAGGUCAUUAGGAUGAGUCCUAAUCCAAUAGGACUGGUGUUCUUAUAUGAAGAGGAAAUUUGAACACAGACACAUAUACAGGAAAGACCAUGCGAAGAAGACACAGAGAGGAAACGGCCAUCUACAAUCCAAGGAGAGAGGCCUCAGAACAAGCCAACCCUGCAGAUACCUUGAUCUAGGCAUCCAGAAUUGGAAAGUAUUUCAUCAUUUCCUAGUGUGGCUUUUUGCACACCCCAGAAGGAGGAAGACAAGCCAUCGUGUCACCUUUACAUGGUAGUUGAGAUGCUUCACAUUUGUACAUAACAUCUUAUAUGAUCGAAAGAGGAACUCAAACUCGACAGGGGAGAAUAAGGAAAUACAUCUAAAACUGACAAUUAUGUUAAUCCCUCAAUUCCCUGGGCCCCCAAAAUAGUCUCCUCUAUUUGCCAUUUCAAAAUAGCUAAUGAGAGGGUAAUUGGACAUGUAGACACUGAAUUUCCACUGCUCAUGGUUUCCUUCCCUGGGCUCCCAGUCACCCGGAAGGCCCCGGAUUACCUCAAAUGUCAUAACGGGUUCAUCGCAUUACGAAUUACCUCCUUCUGCCAAUAAACUACAAGUUCUUUGAGGACAGAAACUGUGAUUUAUGGGCAUUUGUAUCCCCAGAGAUUCAAAGAGUGCCUGAUACAGAGUGGUGAUAGAUGAUUUUAUCAUCUUAUCAUCAUCAUCCUCAUCAUCGUUGUACCUAAAUAGAGGUUACUUCCUGUUUCUUUUAUUUAACAAUAACCUAUUAUAAUAUAUACUAUGCAUUUUUAAUGCACUUUACAAAUAUUGUCCUCAUUUAAUCCCUGUAAGGUGAAUACUAUUAUUGGCUCCAUUUUGCAGAUAAGACACUGAGUCGUGAAAAGGCUAAGUACCUCACACAAGAUCACACAGCCAGUGACAGAACUAGGAUUUGGCUGGACUCUUAAAGACUCUGGUUUGCCAUUUAAAGGUACGCUGAGCUCCACAACACUGCCUUAGAACUUGCUCAGAGCAAUUGUCAUAUUACUAUGGUAGGUUUCCCUGUCUCCCUUAAGACUUAAAGCUUCUGGAGAUCAGAAACUGUAUUGUUUACUUGCAAAAUCAUGGGCUUAGGAGCCAGAAAGAUCUCGAUCUAAGUCCUGCCUCAUCUGCUUCUUCUUCAUGGGAUUAGUAGACUGAUUUUCCCCUUGCUUAGCCAUGCAGUUUGAAUGGAAUUCACCCCAUUCUCAGCUACAACCACGGAUCUUGUUUGCUUUAAACCAAUCAUCACUGCCCAAUUUUCUGGCCUUUGAUUGAUUUAAAGGUGAACACAUGACCGCUUUGGACCAAUGAGGCUCAGGUGGUAUUUUGUGAGGGUCUCUGGAAUAGAAAAUCAUUUCUCUUCUGACAGAACUACAAGGCAAGGCGCAAUCACUGAUGGUGAAAGAUAAAGAUCAUUAUAUUAGGAACUGUUGGCUGUCAUACUGCUAAUGUGAGGUGAGUUAGCCUUAGAAAGAGGAUGCUACCUUGAAAGGCAGGGCAGAUCUAUGGAAAUAAACUGAGUUUGUGGUGACAUUGAUAGCCACUUUAGUUCAUCAGCUGAAUCCCAAUCUACUUGGUUUUUUCAGCUCUGUAAGCCAACAAAUACCCUGCUAGUGUUUUAGCCUAUGCCAGUUGUUUUUUCUGCUGCUUGUUAAUAAGACACAUACAGUCUUGGACAAAUUAUAUAAAAAUAUGAAUCUUUGGCCAGGCAUGGAGGCUCACGCCUGUAAUCCCAACACUUUGGGAGGCCGAAGCGGUCGGAUCACAGGGUCAGGAGUUCGAGACCAGCCUGGCCAAUAUGGUGAAACCCCGUCUCUACUAAAAAUACAAAAAUUAGCUGGAUGUGGUGGCACAUGCCUGUUGUCCCAGCUACUCAGGAGGCUGAGGCAGAAGAAUCGCUUGAACCCGGGAGGCAGAGGUUGCAGUGAGCUGAGAUCAUGCCACUGAACUCCAGCCUGGGAGACAGAAUGACACUCGGUCUCAAAAAAAAAAAAAAAUUCUGAAUCUUUGAAUGUUAUCGUAUAGCUUUUUAAAAGACUAGAUUAAGCUAUGGAUGUAAGCACCAAUGCAUUUUUUUAAAAGUAUAUUGGAUGAAUGAGUUAAAGUCUAAGUGAAUUCAGCAAGUUUGUAACCCUUGAGCUCUUGUGAGCUCAAUCUGCCCUCAAUCAUCUGAGAAUGAACAAAACAGACUCAACCAUUUUGUGUCAUCCAGAUGAAUAGAAAGGGCCUGAAUAUAUUCUUUUUUUAUAUUUUUUGUCAUAGGCCCUAGCGUUUUCAUCUGCUCAGUUUUUGAGUGUGCUUGUUAGGGCUUUAAUGCUAAACUCAAUGUAAGCUGGGUUUAUGUAAUUUAGUGGUUUCUAGACUUAGGCUUCCUAAAUGUUCCAUUAGACAAGAAGACAAAAUAUGAAACAAAAUAACAUCAAACUACCAUUAACAAUUAGCAUUGUCAGAGUCAGUAAAAACUGUUUUGAAAUAAAGCAGCUUUUCAGGCCAGUAUUUGAGAACUAAUGAUAGAGUUUUUUUGUAGGCAAUGAAUGAAGUGUUGUGGAACAAAUGUGGAUUUGGACUUUCAAGACCAACUUGAACCAGAGUCUUGAAUCUGCAACUUUACUAGCUGUGGCUUCUUUUUAAUUGAUUAACUUUCUUUUUCUGUAAAAUGGGAAUAAUGAUUCCUACCUCUUACAAGCGUUGUGGUAGGAGGUAUUCCAAAUGAGAUAAAUAUGUGAAAUCACUAAAACUUCCAGAAUACAUGGAAAUAAUAUAUGUCUGUAUUGGCAAAUUAUGAGUGUAGUAAUGAGGGAUUUACAUGGACACAUUUACAUUCUUUAGUUCAGACUCCCUUUGACGACACAUAACAAACACACACAAGAAUAUUUGCCCUGUGUCCAGCACUCUUUUGAGAAUUUCUCUCUUCUCCUCCUUCUGAUAUCCCAACCAACCAACCAGUAGGAAUGUGCCCUAGAAACUAUGUUUUACAGCUCAGUCCACAUCUUUUCACCUUACAAAUUACUUAUUGUUAGUUUCUUGGGAAAGUAAAAUUGAGAUAUUAAGAUUCUAUGAAAUUGGUUGGUGGUAUUGAAGACUGUGCUGCUGCUGCUGCUACUGCUCCAGAACUCUAGUGGAGAUAUUACAAAUGGGAGCAGAAAAAGUGAGAAGGUGGUCUGUAGAGACAGAGCACAGCACAGAGGUAGAAAGGUUGAGAUAAAGAAACAAUGCAGUGAGAGAAGGAGAGAACACAGACAUAGAAACAGAGACAUAAAGGCACCAGACACGAGAGCAGAGAUAAUUUAAUAAGGCCGUAGUUUCUCUUGGAUUUCCAGUUCCUUCUUUUAGUCAAUUCUGAUAUUUAGCACACUGCACUGCACCAGAUAUCUUGUCGCCUUCAAAUAAAGUAUUUUUCCCCCUUAAACAUGCUAAUUUGGGCUUGUAUUAUUUGCAAUCAAUAGAAUUGAGAAAAACACUCUAUGUCAUAUCUGAACUAGUAUAUCAGAAUGGUUUUCUGCCAUUGGUAACAGAGACCCAGCUCAAUGGCUUAAACACACAAGGGUUUAUCCUGUCACAUUAACAAAAAAAAAAGUGCAGAGUAGCAGUCCGGGGUUGGAAUAGGGUCCACAAAGUCAUCUGGGGCCAGGCUUCAUCUAUCUUUCUCUUACAUCACAAGUGACUUCUGUCUACAAGGCCCCUCAUGGUCCACAAUUGAUUGUUUUUACAACAGCUUUCCAAAGAGCAGAAAGAAAAACAAGUAGAAGAGCUUGUACUUUCUUUUCUAUUUAUGUCACCUCUGCU